CCCUUAGAUGAUUUGGGCUGCACGCGCGCUACACUGACCCUAACAAUGAGCAACUGUCUGGCCUGAGAUGGCUGGGUAGCCUUUUCAACCCAUGUCAUGAUUGGGCUAGAUUUUUGUAAGUCUUGAUCUCUAACGAGGAAUCCCUAGUCUGCGUGAAUCAUCAAUCCAUGCAGAUUAUGUCCCUGCCCUUUGUACACACCGCCCGUCGCUCCUACUGAUUGGGUGAUCCGGUGAGCUGUUCGGCCAUAGCAAUGUUUCUUGAGCAGGGCAAUGAAUGUUUCGCAAACCUUGCCACUUAGAGGAAGGAGAAGUCGUAACA
rnacentral:rRNA from 1 species